UUAUUCGUUAAUGUAAAGGGCAUAAAAAGUUUUGAUCUUUUAAGAAAUGGUGCAAUUCCAUUACGUGUAAU
rnacentral:tRNA from 1 species